rnacentral:rRNA from 1 species
GAUCCUGGCUUAGGAUGAACGCUGGCGGCGUGCCUAACACAUGCAAGUCGAACGGAACUAAGCGCUUCGGAGACUUCGGUCAAUGUUUGCUUGGUUUAGUGGCGGACGGGUGAGUAACGCGUGGAUAACCUGCCUCAUACAGGGGGAUAACAGUUAGAAAUGACUGCUAAUACCGCAUAAGCGCACAGUUUCGCAUGGAACAGUGUGAAAAACUCCGGUGGUAUGAGAUGGAUCCGCGUCUGAUUAGCUAGUUGGCGGGGUAACAGCCCACCAAGGCGACGAUCAGUAGCCGGCCUGAGAGGGUGAACGGCCACAUUGGGACUGAGACACGGCCCAAACUCCUACGGGAGGCAGCAGUGGGGGAUAUUGCACAAUGGGGGAAACCCUGAUGCAGCGAACCGCCGCGUGAGUGAAGAAGUAUUUCGGUAUGUAAAGCUCUAUCAGCAGGGAAGAUAAUGACGGUACCUGACUAAGAAGCACCGGCUAAAUACGUGCCAGCAGCCGC